rnacentral:misc_RNA from 1 species
GAAGUGCGAUAAGUAAUGUGAAUUGCAGAAUCCAGUGAAUCAUCAAAUCUUUGAACGCAUAUUGCGCCUAGGGUUCACCUUAGGCAUGCUUGUUUGAGUGUCAUUUUAUUCAUUCAUAACUAUAAUAAUUCUCUUUUGAAUUACUUUAGUCAUGGACAUUGGUUUGUCACAGAGCUUUCGAGCAUUGUGUCAACUUAAAGUGACUUGUAGAGAUUCAUUGUUCGAUGUUUGAACGCUCUGAAAAUGUAGUGAGUUGUCACCAACAAACUCUUUUUCUUGUUUUGAUAUCUGCUUGAAUCAUGCUACAUAAUGUGUAACAUCAGAUCAUUAUGUGUCUGAGAAUCAACAACAAUUCUGACCUCAAAUCAAGUAACACUACCCGCUGAAUUUAA